rnacentral:ncRNA from 18 species
CGCACUGUUGGUCGGCUAGAUACGGCAGCGACGGGGGAGACGGUCUCUGUGGGGAGUUGAGACGACCAGCACGCGGGCGAAGAUAGCGCGUGGCUCAAAUGACUGUCUGAA